GAUGAACGCUGGCGGCGUGCCUAAUACAUGCGAGUCGAGCGAACGGACGAGAAGCUUGCUUCUCUGAUGUUAGCGGCGGACGGGUGAGUAACACGUGGAUAACCUACCUAUAAGACUGGGAUAACUUCGGGAAACCGGAGCUAAUACCGGAUAAUAUUUUGAACCGCAUGGUUCAAAAGUGAAAGACGGUCUUGCUGUCACUUAUAGAUGGAUCCGCGCUGCAUUAGCUAGUUGGUAAGGUAACGGCUUACCAAGGCAACGAUGCAUAGCCGACCUGAGAGGGUGACCGGCCACACUGGAACUGAGACACGGUCCAGACUCCUACGGGAGGCAGCAGUAGGGAAUCUUCCGCAAUGGGCGAAAGCCUGACGGAGCAACGCCGCGUGAGUGAUGAAGGUCUUCGGAUCGUAAAACUCUGUUAUUAGGGAAGAACAUAUGUGUAAGUAACUGUGCACAUCUUGACGGUACCUAAUCAGAAAGCCACGGCUAACUACGUG
rnacentral:rRNA from 1 species